rnacentral:rRNA from 1 species
UACGGAGGGAGCUAGCGUUGUUCGGAAAUACUGGGCGUAAAGCGCACGUAGGCGGUCUGAUAAGUCAGGGGUGAAAUCCCAGAGCUCAACUCUGGAACUGCCCUUGAAACUGCUAGACUGGAAUCUUGGAGAGGUGAGUGGAAUUCCGAGUGUAGAGGUGAAAUUCGUAGAUAUUCGGAAGAACACCAGUGGCGAAGGCGACUCACUGGACAAGUAUUGACGCUGAGGUGCGAAAGCGUGGGGAGCAAACAGG